UCGGGAUUCGUCUAACGGCAGGACGCAGGACUUUGGUUCCUGUUGUGAAGGUUCAAAUCCUUCAUCCCGAACCA
rnacentral:tRNA from 1 species